rnacentral:rRNA from 1 species
CCUAGGGAGGCAGCAGUGGGGAAUUUUCCGCAAUGGGCGAAAGCCUGACGGAGCAAUACCGCGUGAGGGAAGAAUGCCUACGGGUUGUAAACCUCUUUUAUCAGGGAGGAACAAAAUGACGUGUACCUGAUGAAUAAGCAUCGGCUAACUCUGUGCCAGCAGCCGCGGUAAGACAGAGGAUGCAAGUGUUAUCCGGAAUUACUGGGCGUAAAGCGUCUGUAGGUUGUUGAACAAGUCAACUGUUAAAUCUUGAAGCUCAACUCCAAAAUCGCAGUCGAAACUGUUUGACUAGAGUAUAGUAGAGGUAAAGGGAAUUUCCAGUGGAGUGGUGAAAUGCGUAGAUAUUGGAAAGAACACCGAUGGCGAAAGCACUUUACUGGGCUAUUACUGACACUCAGAGACGACAGCUAGGGUAGCAAAUGGGAUUAGAUACCCCAGUAGUCCUAGCCGUAAACUAUGGAUACUAGAUGUUGAACAGAUCGACCUGUGCAGUAUUAAAGCUAACGCGUUAAGUAUCCCGCCUGGGAAGUAUGCUCGCAAGAGUUGAAACUCAAAAGGAAUUGACGGNUGAGAGNGCGAGACGACGACGAGGGAGAGG